CCCUUAGAUGUUCUGGGCUGCACGCGCGCUACACUGAUGCGAUCAACAAGUUUUUCCUAUGUCGAUAGACACGGGUAAUCUUUUGAACUCGCAUCGUGAUGGGGAUAGAUUAUUGUAAUUAUUAAUCUUCAACGAGGAAUUCCUAGUAGGUGCAAAUCAUCAGUUUGCGUCGAUUACGUCCCUGCCCUUUGUACACACCGCCCGUCGCUGCUACCGAUUGGUUGAUCUGGUGAAUUAUUCGGACUGCCGGCUGAAGGGGUUUCCUCAUCUGCCAGCGGAAAGUCUUGUGAACCCUAUCAACUAGAGGAAGCAGAAGUCGUAACA
rnacentral:rRNA from 1 species